GCCUUCGUGGUGCAGUGGUCAGCACACUCGGCUCGUAUUCGAGAGGUCCGUGGUUCGAGUCCUGGCGAGGACA
rnacentral:tRNA from 1 species